UGAACUUAAGCCCCAGUAAACGGCGGCCGUAACUAUAACGGUCCUAAGGUAGCGAAAUUCCUUGUCGGGGAAGUUCCGACCCGCACGAAAGGCGUAACGAUUUGGGCACUGUCUCAACAACAGACUCGGUGAAAUUGGAAUUCCGGUGAAGAUGCCGGAUACCUGCGACAGGACGGAAAGACCCCAUGGAGCUUUACUGUAGCUUGACAUUGGGUCUUGGUACUACAUG
rnacentral:rRNA from 1 species